GCCAGUGUGGCGUAGUGGUUUGAGCAUUGGACUAUGAUUCUGGAGGCCAGGGUAUGAUUCCCUGUCCAGCCA